UUGGCGGUGGCGUCCCAGGCGCCGUCGUCCUCGAUCAGCGCGGCCGAGCCGAAGUGGUCGCCGUCGAUCAUGGUUCCCAGGACGGUCUGGUUGCCGUACUCGCCGGUGCCCAGUCGGUUCACUUUUCCGUGGGCGAUGAGGCAGACCCGGUCGGCCGCGUCGCCGCGUUCGACGAUGACGUCGCCGGGCGCGUACUCCUCUUGGGUGAAGCGCUCGGCCAGUGCCCCGAGCGCCGCCUCGUCGCCGAAGUCGCGCAGCAGCGACAGUUCGCAGAGUUCACGCGGGAUCACCCGGACGUCGGCUCCGGUGGUGACGAAGCUGACCCGGCCGUCGCCGACGGUGUAGGUCAGUCGCCGGUUCACCCGGUAGGAGCCGCCUGUCGCCUCGAUCCAGGGGAGUAGGCGCAGCAGCCAGCGGGAGGUGAUCCCCUGCAUCUGCGGAGGCGUCUUGGUCGUCGUCGCCAGUUUUCUCGCGGCCUCGGUUCCCAGGCUCAGCCGCUGCUGCUCGU
rnacentral:antisense_RNA from 1 species